AGGCCAAGGCACCAACACACCGUCCAGAUUCAUUUGUCCAGGUUCAACGAAUCUGUAUCUGUCAGACAACCUGACCAGAUUCAUUUGUCCAGGUUCAAUGAAUCUGUAUCUGUCAGACAACCUGACCAGAUUCAUUUGUCCAGGUUCAAUGAAUCUGUAUCUGUCAGACAUACUGACCAGAUUCAUUUGUCCAGGUUCAAUGAAUCUGUAUCUGUUGGAGAUACUGACCAGAUUCAUUUGUCCAGAUUCAAUGAAUCUGUAUCUAUCAGAUAUACUGACCAGAUUCAUUUGUCCAGAUUAAAUGAAUCACAUUUUCAUUUCAAGCUCUUUCAAGCCACUGUAUUCAACUCUAUUUCUCAAUGGAUUUCACUAAGAAAAUGUCCCGGAAAUUACAUCAAGAACAUAUUA
rnacentral:lncRNA from 1 species